ACGUCUGGACCAUCUCAUACCUUCCUUCUCCUCACAUCCUUGAAGAUUCACAUCAUUCUUCCUCUGCCACCCACCUCCACCUUGCCACCCUCCAAGACCCCCUCUGCAUUAGGGGAGGAAUUCAGCACCUUUGUUCCCUUCCUUAUCUCAGCCCCAUCACUGAUCCAUGGCGACUUCGACGUCCAUCUGGCCAUCCAGUUCAGCCCCCGGCUGCAUUUUCCAGGACCCCGUCUUACCAUCUGAUGUUCAGAAAGGAGGGUACCGAGAUGACGAGGCAACCACGAGGUCAGGCAGAGGGACACGGCACACACAGCAGCACAGCUAUUCCAAAGAUCUCAGCUCAGAGGGCACAGAAGCACCGAGAACGCCUUCAGAUCGAUCGGUGGAGGAAGCCUAGCACACCCCAUCCUCUGACCCACCCGCUCAAUUCAGGGGCGGCUUCCGGCGGCAAUCAAGCUCCAUCUACGCCUGCUGCCGUCUCGAUGCUUGCCAUCGCCGUCUUGGAGCCCUCAGCCAACUGGAAAAGGAGCAAGAAGCGAAACAACCACGGCAUCCGGUGCUGCUGUCUCAGCCACCCCAGCUGCUGGGCCUGGCCCUCCCCAGGGACCACUAAUGGUGGAAAUUAAGCUAGGAGCACAGGUGAGGCUGGAAAGGCCAAUGUGGGAUCCACAAUCCUGGCCUCACUGGGCACACAAAAAGGCUGUCCCCUGCCGGGUUGUUGUGCUUAAUAUUUGCAGCUCCUGGUAUCAUUUUCUAUUUUGCCUGCUCGUCUCUAGUUUCUUAGGAAGCUCUUUCUCAAAGACAGCUGCUUCUUUCUUUAUUGCGGAACACCUCGCCACUCUAUCCUUGACAUUUAGCUCCCACUUUUCAGCUGGGAUCAGUCAAUCGGUGUGAUUUACUGAGCACGGACAAUGUCCAGAGUACUGUACUAAGUACUUGGGAGAUUUCGCAGAACCGAAUUAACAGACAUCAUCCCUGCCCAUGAAGAGCUUACAGUCUAGGGGAUGCUGGGAUGCAGCAUCUCUGAGGCUUUGUUUUACCCUGUCAUUUAAUCGUUUCCUCUGCCCUCCUGGCUACUGGUUUCCUGAUUUCAGCUCUCUGUAUUGCAGCCUACAGGGAUCAUAAAGACAGAGACCAGAGUUUCUCUUCUUAUUUGCACCUGAUCUGCUCCAGGCGGAGGACUUGGCCUUUCAGGAAAGCCUGGGUCGUCUCCCGGCCCGUGAUCUAUCCACUAGGCCAUGAAUGAUUAAAGGGAAGUUCCGAAAAAAGGCAAUAUUGAUUUUUCACCUCUCUAAGGUCCAAACCAAGGUGGUAAUAUUACUAUUUGGUAAGCCCUGACUUUGUAGUAAGAGCCGGUGAGUUAUAAUAAAAGCAGAUCAGACACAAUCCCCUUCCCACGUGAGGCUCACAGACUAAGGGGAAAUGAGAACAGAUGAGGAACCUGAGGCCAGAGGUGUUUACUGUUUGCAGGGCACUGACUUAGGUGCUUGGGAGAAUACAAUACAAAGCACAGAGCAAGGAUUAGAAUCCAAGGUCUCUGACUCCCAGGCCUGCACUCUUGCCAGAGGCCAUAUUGCUUCAGUGAGGCGUGUGGUUACAUGCGGAAGAUCUUUAUUUCUAUCGUAAACUCCACGAGGGCCAGGAACAAGUGUUCUGUUACUCUGAUACUCUACCCAGGGCUUUGCGAAGAUGAUGAUGACGACGAACUCCCCUGUCAGGAAUGACAGACGAACUUCUGUCCUGAGACUUCAGCACCCUGAGCCUAUUCAGAGGAAUGGAUUCUAGUACGCCUCGUUUGGGCAUCACCUCUCUUGUCUCUGCCAGUCAUAUCCUUGCUGGGGCCUGGAGUGCAGUGAGCCAGUAGGUGGGCAGGAGUGCAGCGUGCUGCAAAGCAAACACAAUUGUUUUUUACACAGAGGACCCAUUUGCAGC
rnacentral:lncRNA from 1 species